AUACGGAGGGUGCAAGCGUUAAUCGGAAUUACUGGGCGUAAAGCGCGCGUAGGCGGUUAUUUAAGUCAGAUGUGAAAGCCCCGGGCUUAACCUGGGAAUGGCAUUUGAGACUGGAUGGCUAGAGUAUGGUAGAGGUGAGUGGAAUUUCAGGUGUAGCGGUGAAAUGCGUAGAGAUCUGAAGGAACAUCAGUGGCGAAGGCGACUCACUGGGCCAUUACUGACGCUGAGGUGCGAAAGCGUGGGUAGCAAACAGGAUUAGAUACCCUGGUAGUCCACGCCCUAAACGAUGUCAACUAGGUGUAUGGAGAAUUUAUUCUUUGUGUAUCGAAGCUAACGCGAUAAGUUGACCGCCUGGGGAGUACGGUCGCAAGACUGAA
rnacentral:rRNA from 1 species